rnacentral:rRNA from 1 species
UAGCUCCGGCUAACUCCGUGCCAGCCGCCGCGGUAAGCGGGGGGAGCAAGCGUUAUCCGGAAUUACUGGGCGUAAAGGGCACGUAGGCGGGUUCUUAAGUCAGAUUUUAAAUCCAACAGCUUAACUGUUGAUCUGGAUCUGAAACUGGGAGUCUUGAGUGUAAGAGAGGAAAGCGGAAGUCCUGGUGUAGCGGUGAAAUGCGUAGAUAUCAGGAAGAACACCGGUGGCGAAGGCGGCUUUGUGGCUUAUUACUGACGCUGAUGUGCGAAAGCGUGGGGAGCGAACAGGAUUAGAUACCCUGGUAGUCCACGCCCUAAACGUUGUACACUUGGUGUCGGGGGACUAACCCCCUCGGUGCCGAACUAACGCAUUAAUUUGUACCCGCCUGGGGACUACGGUCGCAGGCUGAAACUCAAAGGAAUUGACGGGGGCCCGCACAACGGUGGAACAUGUGGGUUAAUUCAUGCAACUGCGAAGAACCUUACCCCGGACUUGACAUUUUAACGACUGUCUGUGAAAGCAAUUUUCUCUUUCGGAGACGU